UGGUGUUGUAAAAUGUCUGGUUAAUUCCGAUAACGAACGAGACCUCCGCCUGCUAAAUAGUUCGUACUGCCUUUGGCAGUCGCGAGCUUCUUAGAGGGACUCUUCUGUGACUAACGAAUGGAAGUUGGAGGCAAUAACA
rnacentral:rRNA from 1 species